UACGUAGGGCGCAAGCGUUGUCCGGAAUUAUUGGGCGUAAAGAGCUCGUAGGCGGUUUGUCGCGUCUGUCGUGAAAGCCCACGGCUUAACUGUGGGUCUGCGUCCGAUACUGGCAGGCUUGAAUCCGGGAGAGGGAUGUGGAAUUCCAGGUGUAGCGGUGAAAUGCGUAGAUAUCUGGAGGAACACCGGUGGCGAAGGCGACAUCCUGGACCGGUAUUGACGCUGAGGCGCGAAAAGCCAGGGGAGCAAACGGGG
rnacentral:rRNA from 1 species